CCUACGGGUGGCUGCAGUGAGGAAUAUUGGUCAAUGGCCGGAAGGCUGAACCAGCCAUGCAGCGUGAAGGUUAGUGCCCCAUGGGCGUUAAACCUCCUUUGUGCGGGAGCAAUAAUGGUCACGUGUGGCCAGACGAGAGUACCGUACGAAUAAGCAUCGGCUAACUCCGUGCCAGCAGCCGCGGUAAUACGGGGGAUGCAAGCGUUAUCCGGAUUUAUUGGGUUUAAAGGGUGCGUAGGCGGAGAAGCAAGUUAGUUGUGAAAUCCCUCGGCUUAACUGAGGAACUGCAACUAAAACUAGUUCCCUUGAGUACUGGAGAGGAAGGUGGAAUUCCUGGUGUAGCGGUGAAAUGCGUAGAUAUUAGGAAGAACCCCGGUGGCGAAGGCGACUUUCUGGACAGUAACUGACGUUGAGGCACGAAAGUGUGGGGAGCAAACAGGAUUAGAUACCCCGGUAGUC
rnacentral:rRNA from 1 species